rnacentral:tRNA from 1 species
AGGCGCGUAGCUCAGUUGGUUAGAGCGCUACCUUCACACGGUAGAGGCCAUGGGUUCGAGUCCCCUCGCGCCUA